rnacentral:misc_RNA from 1 species
AAGUCGUAACAAGGUUUCCGUAGGUGAACCUGCGGAAGGAUCAUUAACACAUCCUUUUCCAUAUCGUACCUUGGCGCACUCGUCUGUUGGAGCCUGUGGAGAGCAAGGCCGGUCGGGCAAUGGUUGAGAUUCUCGCCUCCACGAGGCGAGUCUGGCCCCCCGCGCUACCCAUCCAGCCGCUUCGGCGCGCUGAGGUGGAACUUCUACUCUGCAGGUCAACACAGCCUCUUACCAUGGCUGGCCCUUUUUUUUUCUUUUUAAACAACUUGCUUUUUUGAAAUACAAUCGGGCUGCAAUGUCAGAUUGAGAUGGGUUUACUCAUUUCUCUGCGUUGAGGUCCUUGAGUGGAUCGCGUCGAUCCAUUUCUAAACCAAACCAAACACAACUCUUAACAGCGGAUAUCUCGGUUCUC